AGCGAACGCUGGCGGCAGGCUUAACACAUGCAAGUCGAACGGGCAUAGCAAUAUGUCAGUGGCAGACGGGUGAGUAACGCGUGGGAACAUACCUCUUGGUUCGGAACAACACAGGGAAACUUGUGCUAAUACCGGAUAAGCCCUUACGGGGAAAGAUUUAUUGCCGAGAGAUUGGCCCGCGUCUGAUUAGCUAGUUGGUGAGGUAAGAGCUCACCAAGGCGACGANCAGUAGCUGGUCUGAGAGGAUGAUCAGCCACAUUGGGACUGAGACACGGCCCAAACUCCUACGGGAGGCAGCAGUGGGGAAUAUUGGACAAUGGGGCAACCCUGAUCCAGCAAUGCCGCGUGAGUGAAGAAGGCCUUAGGGUUGUAAAGCUCUUUCGCCCGCGAAGAUGGUGACGGUAGCGGGAGAAGAAGCCCCGGCUAACUCCGUGCCAG
rnacentral:rRNA from 1 species